UAAGAAAUCUCAAGAACUUGAAGCAAGAUUGAUCAAUAUUAGAUUGAAUUUUAAUAUCCACACCACUUAACAGAUUGAUUCACCUAUAAUAUGAGCUACGGGCUCGUGUAUCUAAUACAAUAUAAUAAACUGGUGCAACUGAGAUCUUGAACUCAGCUAAAAAGAAAGAAGAGAAGAAGGAAGAUGAGAGAAAGAAGAAGAGAAAUAUGAUAGAGAUUGAAUAGUUG
rnacentral:lncRNA from 1 species